CAAAGAAUAGUUUAGUUUAGAAUCCUAGCUUUGGGAGUUAGGGGUGGGAGUUAAAACCU
rnacentral:tRNA from 1 species